CCCUUAGAUGUCCUGGGCCGCGCGCGCGUUACACUGAUGCAUUCAACGAGCUUAUAACCUUGGCCGAGAGGCCUGGGCAAUCUUGUUAACGUGCAUCGUGAUAGGGAUAGAUUAUUGAAAUUAUUAAUCUUGAACGAGGAAUCCCUAGUAAACGCAGAUCAUCAAUCUGCAUUGAUUACGUCCCUGCCCUUUGUACACACCGCCCGUCGCACCUACCGAUUGGAUGGUCCGGUGAAGCCUCGGGAUUGUGGUUCUUGCCGCUUUAUUGUGGCGUGACCGCGAGAACUUGUCUAAACCUUAUCAUCUAGAGGAAGGUGAAGUCGUAACA
rnacentral:rRNA from 1 species